UACAGAGGGUGCGAGCGUUGAUCGGAAUUACUGGGCGUAAAGCGCGCGUAGGCGGCUUUGCAAGUCGGGUGUGAAAUCCCCAGGCUUAACCUGGGAACUGCAUUCGAGACUGCAUUGCUAGAGUAUGGGAGAGGGAAGUGGAAUUUCAGGUGUAGCGGUGAAAUGCGUAGAUAUCUGAAGGAACAUCAGUGGCGAAAGCGACUUCCUGGACCAAUACUGACGCUCAUGUGCGAAAGCGUGGGGAGCAAACAGG
rnacentral:rRNA from 1 species